rnacentral:rRNA from 1 species
CACGCUGUAAACGAUGAGUGCUAGGUGUUGGGGGAGACAUCCUUCAGUGCCGCAGUUAACACAAUAAGCACUCCGCCUGGGGAGUACGGUCGCAAGACUGAAACUCAAAGGAAUUGACGGGGGCCCGCACAAGCAGCGGAGCAUGUGGUUUAAUUCGACGCAACGCGAAGAACCUUACCAGGGCUUGACAUCCCUCGGACGUAUCUAGAGAUAGGUAUUUCCCUUCGGGGACUGAGGAGACAGGUGG